GGCGGACAUGGCGUCGUCGCCGCCUGAUCGUAAGGCAGCUACCUUGGUUCUUUGUCAUUCCUUUGGAGAUAACACCUGGUCUGCCCAUGAAGGAUAUGGUUGUAAAGCUGCCCCUUGUGCAUGAAGGUUGACAGCAGUGUCCUACAAUGGUAUUAUCCUAAUAGGCCACUUCUGAACCCUUUCCAACAAUUCAACAUCUUUUAUAAGGUGGUUUACUAGAUAUUGAAAGCAUCUUGUAUGAUGGUGAAAUGGUGUGGCCUUUCGUUUGAUAUUUUAUUUAUAUUUUUUAACCGCAAUACAGAGGAAGCUGUACUCUGUUCUACCUCUAUCAAACGCCUACCUCAACGGUUAACGAGUGACGCAUUGUUAG